rnacentral:rRNA from 2 species
GGGUUGUGAGGUUAAGCGACUAAGCGUACACGGUGGAUGCCCUGGCAGUCAGAGGCGAUGAAGGACGUGCUAAUCUGCGAUAAGCGUCGGUAAGGUGAUAUGAACCGUUAUAACCGGCGAUUUCCGAAUGGGGAAACCCAGUGUGUUUCGACACACUAUCAUUAACUGAAUCCAUAGGUUAAUGAGGCGAACCGGGGGAACUGAAACAUCUAAGUACCCCGAGGAAAAGAAAUCAACCGAGAUUCCCCCAGUAGCGGCGAGCGAACGGGGAGCAGCCCAGAGCCUGAAUCAGUGUGUGUGUUAGUGGAAGCGUCUGGAAAGGCGCGCGAUACAGGGUGACAGCCCCGUACACAAAAAUGCACAUGCUGUGAGCUCGAUGAGUAGGGCGGGACACGUGGUAUCCUGUCUGAAUAUGGGGGGACCAUCCUCCAAGGCUAAAUACUCCUGACUGACCGAUAGUGAACCAGUACCGUGAGGGAAAGGCGAAAAGAACCCCGGCGAGGGGAGUGAAAAAGAACCUGAAACCGUGUACGUACAAGCAGUGGGAGCACAGAGCAAUCUGUGUGACUGCGUACCUUUUGUAUAAUGGGUCAGCGACUUAUAUUCUGUAGCAAGGUUAACCGAAUAGGGGAGCCGAAGGGAAACCGAGUCUUAACUGGGCGUUAAGUUGCAGGGUAUAGACCCGAAACC